rnacentral:rRNA from 1 species
AUUGAACGCUGGCGGCAUGCCUUACACAUGCAAGUCGAACGGUAACAGGUCUUCGGAUGCUGACGAGUAGCGAACGGGUGAGUAAUACAUCGGAACGUGCCCGAUCGUGGGGGAUAACGAAGCGAAAGCUUUGCUAAUACCGCAUACGAUCUACGGAUGAAAGCAGGGGACCGCAAGGCCUUGCGCGAACGGAGCGGCCGAUGGCAGAUUAGGUAGUGGGUGGGAUAAAAGCUUACCAAGCCGACGAUCUGUAGCUGGUCUGAGAGGACGACCAGCCACACUGGGACUGGGACACGGCCCAGACUCCUACGGGAGGCAGCAGUGGGGAAUUUUGGACAAUGGGCGAAAGCCUGAUCCAGCCAUGCCGCGUGCAGGAUGAAGGCCUUCGGGUUGUAAACUGCUUUUGUACGGAACGAAAAGACUCUGGUUAAUACCUGGGGUCCAUGACGGUACCGUAAGAAUAAGCACCGGCUAACUACGUGCCAGCCGCCGCCGUAA